rnacentral:rRNA from 1 species
UACAGAGGAUGCAAGCGUUAUCCGGAAUGAUUGGGCGUAAAGCGUCUGUAGGUGGCUUUUUAAGUCCGCCGUCAAAUCCCAGGGCUCAACUCUGGACAGGCGGUGGAAACUACCAAGCUGGAGUACGGUAGGGGCAGAGGGAAUUUCCGGUGGAGCGGUGAAAUGCGUAGAGAUGCGGAGGAACACCGAUGGCGAAGGCAGCCCCCUGGGUUAACACUGACGCUCAGGCACGAAAGCGUGGGGAGCAAACAGG